rnacentral:lncRNA from 1 species
CACUUUGAUGUUAUAUAUUUUGUUCAGGUGUUUGCAGCUGCAGCGCAAAGUGAGUGCCUUUGUGCCUGUGUGUGUGUGUGUGUGUGUGUGUAUGGAAGUGUGUGUGGGAGUUUGUGCCAGCCGACCACUGUACAGUCAUGUAUCCUGCCGCAGCGGCGCCAGGUAGGGAGCAAGCACAGUCUGUGCUGGAGCAGAAAGAGAGACAGCAGGCCCGAGUCCGAUAGCGUAAGCUCGCUUGAACUAAGCCUCAGCCAUCUAAAAUGUUAUGAAGACGAGACACCAGGGCUCAUGGCACAGGGAAGGACUCUGUUCCUUGACAGCAUGCCGUUGUUGUGAUCAUCAAGGCGACCAGGCACAAUAUUGGAUCUAAGAGUGUUUCAUCAAAUUUCUCCACCAUAAUAGUGUUGAUUUACAUGCGACUGUGAAUCCUCUACAUGAAUAACAAAAGGAAGCUGAAAAGGAGGGAAGCGGGAACGCGUGCUUAUGGACUCGGUUUCAGUCAUGCUAGUAAGCUGAUUUAUCUUACCAUAAGAGGCAGAUCUUAAGAAAAUGCAAAGAGAGAAAGCUAAUGGAUCAUUAUUAUGUGUUCCUCACUCCCUAUCUUUCAAAUGACUGCAGGGCUUUGCAGUUCUGGCUUUGAUUCGCAGCCCAUUCUCCUAUAUGACUUGAGUGGACUAGCUGAGCUAAGACAUGAUUUCCAGAAGAUUGCAGUGUAAGUGCCUCUGGCAAGACC